rnacentral:lncRNA from 1 species
UAGACCCACCGCUACUGGAAGGUAACUCACCUCGAAAAGUAGCUACCGAAAGUCUCACUCUUUGAUUCUCGACUUCCUGUUUAGACUCUUUAAACCUUUCAAAAGUCUCUGACUUAUGAUUGAUUAAAUAGACACAUCCACAUCUACUAUAAUCAUUAGUAAAAGUCAAAUAAUAACGAUUAACAUCCCUUGUGGAAGAUUUGAAGGGUCCACACACAUCCGUGUGCACUAGAUCCAACAAACCUUCAUCCCUAGCACAAGAACCGGUGAAAGGUGACUUUGUCAUUUUUCCAAGUAAGCAUGAUUCACAACUAUCAUCUGACUUUAGGUCAAAUGACUCCAAGACUCCAUUUUUUUGGAGUUGGCCUAUGCGUUUCUUGCUCACAUGUCCAAGGCGAUAAUGCCAUAAUGAUGUUUUAUCCAAGUUAUUAUUAUCAGAAGAAUCAAUACACAACACAUUAUUUCCUAGAUUAUCUACAACAGAUACAACUUCAUACACACCAUCACAAGGUAAUGCUUUAAAAUAAAGAACAUUAUUAAAGAAAGCAUUUAUUCCACCAAUUUCAUUAUCAAAAGAAAAGGUAAACUCUUGUUUGUACAAAGCAUGAAAGGAAAUAAUAUUUCUUGCCAUUUCUGGUGAAUAAAAAUAUUUAUUCAAAUCUAAAGUAAACCCACUACUUAGCAACAAAGAAUAAACUCCAAGAUUGGUGACAGGUGAAACUUUCCUAUUCCCCAUGAUCAAGUUUAUCUUUCCAUGCUCCACAUUCUCACUUCUUCGUAGUCCCUACAAAUCAUAACAGAUAUGAAUACCACAACUGGUAUCAAGGACCCAAGAGUUAGAAUAAGGUGAGUUAUUAGAUAGAAUAGUGUAAAUACCUGCAUGGUUAGGUUUAACUUUCCCAUCCUUCACAUCUUGCUGGUACUUUGGGCAGUUCCGCUUCCAAUGCGACUUUUCAUGGAAAUAGAAGCAUUCAGCCUCUUUUGGGUCAGAAGAAUGAGUGACGAAACCUUUCUUGGUUCCACUUGAAGAAGAGCCAUCAAGGGUCCUAGCCUUGGUACCCUUUCGAAGAGCUCUUCCUCUUCUUCCAUCUACCUUUCCUGAUUGCCAAGACAUGGACGGAGUUUGGAGUAGGAUUAGGAGAGUCAACAACCGACUUACCUUUAAGACCUGCUUCUGCGGUCUUUAGAAGUCCUUGAAGUUUGUUGAGUGUGACUUCUUCCUUAUUCAUGUUGUAUGUCAUGUGGAAUUGAUCAUAACACGAGGGUCAGGAGUGCAAAAUGAUAUCUAUUGCAAGCUCCUCGGGGAAGUUCACAUUAAGCUUCAACAAAUGAUCCACAUACCUUUGCAUUUUCUGCAUGUGGCUCAUGACGGAAUCUUCGCCCUUCAUCCUGGUUGUUAUCAUGGAGGAGAUUAUUUCAUACCGCUCUUGACGAGCACUCUGAUGGUAUCUUUCCAUCAUAUCUUGGUGCAUAUCAAAAGGGUAGUAGUCCUCAUAGGACUUCUGGAGUUCAGCUGUCAUGGUGGCCAUCAUGAUGCAUGCCACUUUGAUGGUAUCUCUUUCAUGAGUCUGAAAGUCAGCGAUCUCCUGGGGAGUAGCAGUGGACUCAUCGAUCUCCUUUAGCUCCUUAUCGAGGACAUAUUCCUUGUCCUCGUAACAAGUCACCACCCUGAUGUUCCGGAUCCAAUCCAUAAAGUUGAAACCAUCGAAGUUGACCCUCCCACAUAGGUUCAUGAAGGAAAAGGAGCCAGUAGGGUUUGAGCUAGAAGUAGUGUUGUUGGAAGACAUCUGAAAAGAAGAGAACAACUUUAGUUUAGAUAUAAAUAUUGUCCUUAAUAAAACACCCAAAUGUAAUAUUAAGGCUAUGAUCCAAUCACAAUAUAUCAUAACUUAGAAGAGGUAUGUCGUAAUCUAAGCUAUAACAUAUUUGAAAGGUAGGUGAAUGACGAUUCACCAAUUUCCACCAAAAACCGAAAUAUAAAUUAUUAGGUUUUAAUUGGUUCUUAUAAAUUCCUAUAUUCUUUUGAGAUUCAAUGAACUUUCAAAGGCAUGUUUCAAUCUCGAGUGUGCCCUCCAAGUUCUGUGACUGGGAUACCGAGGAUCACAAAACGAGGUGUGAAGUAACCAUGCAAAUCACUUGGUACCCAUAAAGUUUAUCACUCAAUCGAUGUGUCGGUUAACCACACGCGCUCCACCAACCUAUAAUAAACUUUAAGUCACCCUUUACCUACCUUGUUAAGUCCAGAUUAGUGUGCCGGUUAACCACACACGCUCCACUAAUGACUUAAACAGAGUGUAAAGUGUAAUUUCAUGGAUUAGCACCUUAUUAACAUUUUCCUAAAGUAACUAAGAUUGGGAAUUUAAUAAAACAUCUAGUUACUUUAUAAUAUUCAUCAUACUUUUAAUGAGAAUAUAUAAGUCAUUGUCCUACCCGUUCGGCUAACGACCCUCCACCGAUCAAGGAAGCGGUAGGUGAGAGUGGACACCCAUUAAGCUGUCAUUUUAUAGGCAGCAACCUUAUACCCACCUUAUAGACCGGCUUCGUGAAUGAGGCCUACUAAUGGUAAGACGACUUGCUCUUAUACAUAUAUUGUAACAUCCCAAAAAUACGAGCCAAAAAUUUCAUUUUUAAAACAUAUACUUAGCAAACAUUAUAAUUAUAACGUUCACCAAUCAUAUCAUUUCAUAAAAGUUAUCGUAUGUCUUGAAAAACAUUUUAUAAAACAUAAUAAUGACAGAGUACAAAUUCUCAAGAGGGUCUCGUAGUGUGGAAUACUAGGCAUGUGUGUGAUGGGCCGCUACCGCGCCAGCUCCUUCCCCUUCGAAGAAGAGGUACCUGAAACCAAAACUGAAAAUUGUAAGCACGAAGCUUAGUGAGUUCCCCCACUAUACCAUAUACCAUAUAAUCACAUAACAUACAGAUACUGCCGGGCAUAUCUGGGUGCCCGACCUACCCCUUCGGUCCUCUCGACCGGAUACUGCCUAACAUAUCUGGGUCCUGGCCUCCCCUUCAGUCCUUACGACCGGAUACUGCCUAGCGUAUCUGGGUGCUGGCCUCCCCUUCGGUCCUUAUGACCGGAUACUUCCUAACAUAUCUGGGUGCUGGUCUCCCCUUCAGUCCUUACGACCGGAUACUGGGGACUAUUUCACCCCUACUGCUACCACAUAACACAUAUCACAUAGUAACAUAUCAUACUAGCACAUAAACAUAACACAGGUAGUAGCAACCCUAGAUGAAUAUCACAGAGACAAUCAUCUAUCAUACAACUCCUACUGGUGGGCCGANGUGAGCCCCCCCGCUACUGGAAGGUACCUCCCCUCGAAAAGUAGCUACCGAAAGUCUGACUGCUAGACGUAUGGCUGCUGCACCGGUAAUCCUCCGGCUACAAAUCCAUAUCACAUAGUAACAUAUCAUACUAGCACAUAAACAUAACACAUGUAGUAGUAACCCUAUAUGAAUAUCACAGAUACAAUCAUCUAUCAUACAACUCCUACUGGUGGGCCGACAUUGUGGCCGUAGACCCACCGCUACUGGAAGGGGANAACUCACCUCGAAAAGUAGCUACCGAAAGUCUGACUGCUAGACGUCUGGCUGCUGCACCGGUAAUCCUCCGGCUACAAAUCCAUAAACAUAGAUUAGCCACUCAUAAAUACCCUUAGUCAAUUGACUGACCCAACCCAGGUCCAUGGUCAACUCCUUGGUCAAAGUCAACUUCCAGUUGACUGGAUUCGCCGAGUCGUGGCACAUACUAGCCGAGUCCUUCUCCUACUAACCCGGUCUUACUCGCCAGGUCCCUCUUCCCACUCACCGAGUCACCCUUAACUCACCACUCGGGACUAUAGAAACCGACUCGUGAUCCGACUUGCCGAGUCCAAGAACAACUCGCCGAGUCCCACGAGCAGACCUCCUACUCGCUUCCAAAUCCUCACCAGAGCAUCCCUUAAGAGGAUUUGGAGUUCUGGGACUAUUGCUACACGUUAAAUUGCUAAUUUCGCGUGCAGAUACGAAGGGUUGGACCUUCAACACUUAAACCCCUCUUUCUCAGUGAAAUUUCAUAUGACUCGCCGAGUUUGAAGAACAACUCGUCGAGUUCCAAGCAAUCUUCAUAGGACUC